GCACUGCUGAAGAGUCCCACAAUAGGACGGAAGGGCCGUCCAGUGC
rnacentral:hammerhead_ribozyme from 1 species